UGCAAGUCGAACGCGUUGGCCCAAUUGAUUGAUGGUGCUUGCACCUGAUUGAUUUUGGUCGCCAACGAGUGGCGGACGGGUGAGUAACACGUAGGUAACCUGCCCAGAAGCGGGGGACAACAUUUGGAAACAGAUGCUAAUACCGCAUAACAACGUUGUUCGCAUGAACAACGCUUAAAAGAUGGCUUCUCGCUAUCACUUCUGGAUGGACCUGCGGUGCAUUAGCUUGUUGGUGGGGUAA
rnacentral:rRNA from 1 species